CACUACGGCCAUGCCACCCUGAACAAGCCUGAUUCCAUACGAUCUCGAAAGCUAAGCAGGGUUGGGCCUGGUUAGUACUUGGAUGGGAGACCACCAAGGAAGACCAGAUGCUGUAGGCG
rnacentral:rRNA from 1 species